rnacentral:lncRNA from 1 species
UGUUAGGAAUAUUAGAAUUUAUUUUCAAGUAGAAAAAAAAUCACAAAUCCGAAUCUAACAUUGAAACAUCACUCAACUUUGCAUGAACAAUCACACUGAGUUGCAGAGAAAACUCUUCAAAAUUUCAACAAUUCUUUCAUGUGAUUUAGCUUCAUAGAUUAAUUUGCAUUUAUCAGGUAAGAUGGGUGAUAUUUUAGGUUAUACAAAAGUGGCCUUCAUAGAUUAAUUUGCAUAUAGUAAACUCUUUUAAAAAUAAAAACUAAGUGUUGUUUUAAAUGGAUAGAAUGAGUGAGUUUAUUUGCAUUUUUGUGCUGAUUUUUAUUUAUUGAUUUUAUGAGUUUUAACAUUUAAUUAUUAUAUUGAUUUAAUGGCAAUUAAAUGAAGAAUAAUUAUUAGCAAAAUAGGAAGAAAAUGACGAAAAACAUAAGCUCAUGAAUAAUUUAUUUUUAUUUUAAUGCCACCAUCACAAUUACCUUACCCAAUUUUUAUCUCAUAAUACACUUAACGAUUUUACAAUUGAACUUUUAUAAAUUUCUAUUUUUUUCCCCAUUUUUAUUAAAUUUUCUUUCUCGGUUCUUCCCAAAGAUCUCAAAAUCUCCAACUGUCCAAUCAAUGGGAAAGUCCCCAUGCUGGGCCCUUGGCCUAACAAGGUUUCGUGAAGGCUCCUCGGCAUGAUUUCAUGUCGGUCGAACCAGCACGGCCAGCUGGCCUAUUGCACAAGCAACUGGCCCAAGGAAAAUAGACUCUGUGGAAUGGCACACUGCCAGUUUUCCAUCUUUGGCAUUCACAGAUGCAAAUAUCAUCUCUGCACCCUCUGACUUGGCAUAUGCAUUUCUACACCACGCCAGAGAAGUCCUAGGCCAUUCUGGGUGCUCGAAGAAAUGUCCCUUCCAUGAACUAGUACUGUAGAACAACACUACAUAACCAUAGGGCACUUUGAUGCCCGACAUUCUGAUCAGAAACAUAUGAACUUCUAUUUUUUGUCCAUUUCUUCUUAGUUUUACUAAUAAUUAUUCAUCAUUUAAUUUGUUCUAAAUCAAUAUAAUAAUUAAAUGUUAAAACUCAUAAAAUUGGUAAAUAAAAAUCACCAAAAAAAAAAUACAAAUGACAUUCACUAACUCUAUCCAUUUAAAACACUGCUUAGUUUUAAUUUUUGAAAAAAUUUACCAUAUGCAAAUUAAUCAAUAAAGGCCAUUUUUUGUAUAAUCUAAAAUAUUAUCCAUUUUACCUAAUAAAUGCACGAGACAUAAGCUAAAUCGCACGAAAGAAUUGUUGAAAUUUUGCCAAUUUUAUUGUGCAAUUCAAUAUAACUAUGCAUGCGCAGUUGAGUGAUGUUUUCAGGUUAGAUUUGGGUUUGUGAUUUGUUUUACUGCUGGAAAAUAAAUUCUAACAUUUCUAAACAUAUUGUCCUAAUGAUUGAUUACAAAUUUGUAAAAGAAAAAUGAAAUAGAAAAGGAAUUGGAA